rnacentral:rRNA from 1 species
AGUGAACGCUGGCGGUAGGCCUGACACAUGCAAGUCGAACGGCAGCACAGUAAGAGCUUGCUCUUACGGGUGGCGAGUGGCGGACGGGUGAGGAAUACAUCGGAAUCUACUUUUUCGUGGGGGAUAACGUAGGGAAACUUACGCUAAUACCGCAUACGACCUACGGGUGAAAGCAGGGGAUCUUCGGACCUUGCGCGAUUGAAUGAGCCGAUGUCGGAUUAGCUAGUUGGCGGGGUAAAGGCCCACCAAGGCGACGAUCCGUAGCUGGUCUGAGAGGAUGAUCAGCCACACUGGAACUGAGACACUGUCCAGACUCCUACGGGAGGCAGCAGUGGGGAAUAUUGGACAAUGGGCGCAAGCCUGAUCCAGCCAUACCGCGUGGGUGAAGAAGGCCUUCGGGUUGUAAAGCCCUUUUGUUGGGAAAGAAAAGCAGCAGGUUAAUACCCCGCUGUUCUGACGGUACCCAAAGAAUAAGCACCGGCUAACUUCGUG